rnacentral:rRNA from 1 species
CAGUCGAGCGGAUGAGAGGAGCUUGCUCCUGGAUUCAGCGGCGGACGGGUGAGUAAUGCCUAGGAAUCUGCCUGGUAGUGGGGGACAACGUUUCGAAAGGAACGCUAAUACCGCAUACGUCCUACGGGAGAAAGCAGGGGACCUUCGGGCCUUGCGCUAUCAGAUGAGCCUAGGUCGGAUUAGCUAGUUGGUGAGGUAAUGGCUCACCAAGGCGACGAUCCGUAACUGGUCUGAGAGGAUGAUCAGUCACACUGGAACUGAGACACGGUCCAGACUCCUACGGGAGGCAGCAGUGGGGAAUAUUGGACAAUGGGCGAAAGCCUGAUCCAGCCAUGCCGCGUGUGUGAAGAAGGUCUUCGGAUUGUAAAGCACUUUAAGUUGGGAGGAAGGGUUGUAGAUUAAUACUCUGCGAUUUUGACGUUACCGACAGAAUAAGCACCGGCUAACUCUGUGCCAGCAGCCGCGGUAAUACAGAGGGUGCAAGCGUUAAUCGGAAUUACUGGGCGUAAAGCGCGCGUAGGUGGUUUGUUAAGUUGGAUGUGAAAUCCCCGGGCUCAACCUGGGAACUGCAUCCAAAACUGGCAAGCUAGAGUAUGGUAGAGGGUGGUGGAAUUUCCUGUGUAGCGGUGAAAUGCGUAGAUAUAGGAAGGAACACCAGUGGCGAAGGCGACCACCUGGACUGAUACUGACACUGAGGUGC